rnacentral:lncRNA from 1 species
CUCACUCAUCUUUCACGCGUUACUGAAUAUUCACUCAUCUUUCAAUAUAGUUACCCAUCCACCACUCGUCUUUUAAAAUGAUUGGGCGACUUUUGCUGUAACUUUUCAACAACUUCUGACCACCAAAAUCGUCGGAUUUUGAUAUCAUUGGAAAGCUCACGAUAUCCUCUUCAAUUACCACUAGAAAUCUCCCCAUAACUCCAAGGAAUUAGACCCGAAAAUU